rnacentral:lncRNA from 1 species
GCCUUUGUAGUAGCCAUCGCCCCAGCUUAGCAGCGCCGCCGUGUUGCUGAUGUCUUCUCCGGCGAAGUCGUGGGAUAGCUGCCAGAACACGGCGUACGUCCAGCUUUCUCUAGCUCCUUCGAUCAAUGCUUGGAGUCGUUGCUGGAGAGUGUCUUCGGUGACGUGAGGAGGAGGAGGAGUGAGAGGUGGUUGAGGCCAGAGAGAAGAGUGUUCGGAGCCGAUGAGAGGUUCCAUUACAGACGCAUUGUCUUCGGUUGUUG